GAAUCUUCCGCAAUGGACGCAAGUCUGACGGAGCGACGCCGCGUGAGCGAUGAAGGUCUUCGGAUCGUAAAGCUCUGUUGUUAGGGAAGAACAAGUAUCGGAAUAACUGCCGGUACCCUGACGGUACCUAACCAGAAAGCCCCGGCUAACUACGUGCCAGCAGCCGCGGUAAUACGUAGGGGGCAAGCGUUGUCCGGAAUUAUUGGGCGUAAAGGGCGCGCAGGCGGUUAUUUAAGUCUGAUGUGAAAUCUUGUGGCUUAACCACAAGCGGUCAUUGGAAACUGAAUAACUUGAGUGCAGAAGAGGAGAGUGGAAUUCCACGUGUAGCGGUGAAAUGCGUAGAGAUGUGGAGGAACACCAGUGGCGAAGGCGGCUCUCUGGUCUGCAACUGACGCUGAGGCGCGAAAGCGUGGGUAGCGAAC
rnacentral:rRNA from 1 species